AGUGCUCUGGUAGAUGGAAAGGUUGCCACUGUCCCACCUCCCUGGGCCUCCCCUAUCUUUGCCGAAUUUCCCCUUUUCCACAUUUUGCCCUUCCUAGGUAGUGGGAGUCUAGUUCCUAGGUCAAUGCCAGCCAUAGCCAAGGGCACACGGUAGCAGAUGGCUGUGCAAAGCCACUUUCAGGCUGUGGAUGCAGGGCUGAGAAAUGGGAAAUCUGCCAGUGCCCAUUCCAGCUUUGACCUGGCUGGGGCAGCCUUGGGUCAAGGGCUCUCUGUAGUCCUGGUUUCCACCAUCAUCAGGAAGGGGAGCUUCAAGAGUCAUCUAGGCAGGCACCCCAGGACUGUGCCAGCUAAUGUCAGGGUGGACUGGCUCUAAGGAAAAGCUGUGACAAAGGAAACAGAGUGAGGGAAUGGAUAGCUCAAAAUGACCCUUGCCACUCCCGCUCAGAACAGCACCCCUGGCUGUGUCCUGUUGAGGGAAGACCUGGGUUUAAGCCCUGCCUCCAUCAAUCUCAAGAUAUGCAACCUGAGGGAAGGGAGGGGCGGCAUUGCCGAGGAUGUGUGCACCUGUGCAGGUACCUGC